rnacentral:rRNA from 1 species
UACGGGGGGGGCAAGCGUUGUUCGGAAUUACUGGGCGUAAAGGGCGCGUAGGCGGGCUCGCCAGUCAGGGGUGAAAGCCCACGGCUCAACCGUGGAAGUGCCUUUGAUACUGCGAGUCUCGAGGGAGGUAGGGGCGUGCGGAACUUCCGGUGGAGCGGUGAAAUGCGUAGAUAUCGGAAGGAACAUCGGUGGCGAAAGCGGCGCGCUGGACCUCUUCUGACGCUGAGGAGCGAAAGCGUGGGGAGCGAACAGG